UAGUUGUCUCUCUUGCAGGUCAGCGCAA
rnacentral:sRNA from 1 species